CUCGAUUGUGAACAGUUAUGAGGUUUGACAGAGUCAGAAGCUGCCUUGCCGGAGUAUCAUUCUAGGAUCGACCAUUCCAGACUUGUGCAUUCGUAAAGUCCAAAGUUUGUGCAUUUUUGAGAGGAACAAAUACAAUACAUCAAUGGUGUUAUUAGAGAUCGCGUUAUUUGGAGCGCUCACAUCAAUGUACAUUGCCGUUCAGGCCUAUUUCUGUCGCCAUCCUGAAAUCCCUAAUGGAGUUCAGAAUAUCUACCACGACGAUGGGGGAGAAGCAUGGCAGUAUGCUAUGUACAACAAGUAUACAGUUUGGUAAAUCAUCUCAAGAACUGCAACGAUAUACAAACGACACAAAGGAAACUAUCCAUCUUCAGCUUGAGAAGUUUAAAUUCUUUAGAAUCCGAACAAAGUAGAUAAUAUAUGGUUCUUUUUUCAAACGGAUUAUGCUCCGUGAUAAAUAUUUGUUCAUUUUGUGAAAAAAUUAUAUUGUUGAAUUUUUAACCAGAAAAUCAUAAACGUACUUCUUUUCGCCCCAGGCCCUUCACUCGGCUGGCUUUGGCAAGUUUGGUCAACUACGUUUGCUAGCAUUUGGUAGAUUCUAGUGUUAUUAUCAGUAACAUUUAUACAAUUUAACAUGCUAUACAAUGUGCUAAUUACCAUAUCCUAGAGAGCCAAUUAACAUCAAAUGUUCUAAUUAACAUAUGUUUAUACGCUAAUAAACAUACUCGAAAGUUUUAAUUAGUUGUUCUUAAUUAAUAUGCUUAUUAUCAUAUCCUUAUCAACAUAUUAUACUAAUGUCUGAUGCUUCAUUAACAUAUUCAAUCGUCACUGGGCCAUAGAUUUCCGGCCAAAAAGUUCGUCGCGAAAUAUUUUACUAGUAAAACUGUAGAUGAUGGGAUUAACCGCCGAAUUAGCGAGGACCAAUGAGAUUGCAAAGAUUUCAUAGUGUGGAGAUUUUAGAAAAUUAAAGCCAUGAGCUAUAGCUCGCACCCACAAUGGGAUAUAACACACGUAUAAACUGAUAACAACACAGAAAAACAUUUUAGCUACUUUUCUUUUCACGCCACUGUGCCAAGUGGUUCGUCUCCCGGAGGUAUCUUGAACACUGUUGUGGAUUUUCGUAAGUUUACGCAACUCAUGGUAGAUGUUGACCCAACAGCAAAUAAUGGCUGUCGCCACGCAAAAACCAACGAAUGAACGAACCAUUAGGACGUAUUUGCCAACCACACCU